UCACAGUUUAACACAGCUGAAAACUUCUCCACGCUGCUUUCAAACUCUGAGUAAACAACGUACGCUUCACUUGGAGGCUGUCUGAAGGUGUACACAUGUCUCAGAUGGACUUGGUAUCACAUUAGGAACGAUAUUCAGUGAUAAGUCGGGCAACAAUAGCUGGUUUUAAGGUUUUAUUCGAGCGGAUCACAAUUUACCACAGCUGAAGACUUCUCCACGCUGCUUUCAAACUUCCUCGCUGUUCGCGUCCGGAUAUCGCCAUCGUAAGCACAACCUCACACACUGGUACUGAAUGUGUAUCAAAUUGUUCCUAUCCAGCCAAAUAUACCAAAAGAUUUAUGUAAAAGGCAGAAGAAGCGAUCGAAAUGUGUAUUUCAGUCGAAGGCCACGCCUCCACAUCUGUCAACCAGUUGAUCGGGGAACCAGUUAAUCCGGAACACCGGCUACCCCAAUAAACAAACGUUACUAACCGCUUAACAACAAUGCCCUCCUUGUUAUGCUGUGUUUUAAAUACAACUGUAUAGGGGAGGGGAGAGUUGGUCUCACGUUGGAACAAUGUAAAUUCAAUGUAGGGAAUUUCAACCUUGAAAAACCGGCAUCUAUAUUUCAUUGAUUCAACAACAUUUUUUCAAACGUUGAAAUGGUAUCUGUAAUAACACAUCGAAUCAACAUUGAUUUUUCAACCUCAACCAAAAAUAACUAAUUUAACCAAAAUCCAAUGUUGAAUUAAUGUAUUUUGCUAUCUGGGUGUUAUGAUCAAUUGUGAGUUAAAUCUUUAUCUAAAAAGUAAAGUUGAUGAUGGAUUACUGUGGUGGUGUUAAAAUAACAAUAGCCUAUUUCUCUUUUAAAUGUGAUGGAGUAAAAGGAUAGUAACUGUAUUCAUGUUAAGUACCCCACAAGUAACUAAAAUGUAUAGGCUAGUAGCCUACUUGAAGGAAAGGUGUAAAAUGUUCCAUAAAUACCAAUAUCACUCACUACAUCACAGACUAUAACACCCCUUGUUGUUAAAUACCAACCAUGUGCAAUAUAUUUUUAAUUACAUUUUCGUAGAGCUUUGACUUUUUCAGCUGAAUACAUAUUAUAACUAGAUGGUUUUGUUCAGCAUUGCCAGCUUCACUGUUAAAAUGUAUGUUGUGCCCGGCAUUCUCCUGUCCUGUGCUCUGAAAUCAAAAUGUGGAUAAGCAUAAAACAACACUAAAAUAAACACUACAAUACAA